CGGGGGUGCAAACAUUCGUAACAAGGUUUCCGUAGGUGAACCAGCGGAGGGAUCAUU
rnacentral:rRNA from 1 species